UACGGAGGGGGCUAGCGUUGUUCGGAAUUACUGGGCGUAAAGCGCGCGUAGGCGGACCUGCAAGUCGGGGGUGAAAGCCCGAGGCUCAACCUCGGAACUGCCUUCGAUACUGCGGGUCUCGAGUCCGGGAGAGGUGAGUGGAAUUCCUAGUGUAGAGGUGAAAUUCGUAGAUAUUCGGAAGAACACCAGUGGCGAAGGCGGCUCACUGGCCCGGUACUGACGCUCAGGUGCGAAAGCGUGGGGAGCAAACAGG
rnacentral:rRNA from 1 species